GAGGGAUUAACUGCAGCCCUGCUGGCUCUAGGGAGUGGGGGAAGGAAGAUGCAACUUCCUAGAGGGAAGCAAACAAGUUAUGUAUAAAGAAAACAGGUAUGAUCCUGUGGGCCAGUGCAUCAGCUGUAGAGUCCUAUGAAGACCCCCAAUGAGCAUGGUUAGAAUCUGUUCCAGAGCUGGAAUCAGUGUCGCCACUCAGUGCUUUACACGGGUUAAUGAGUCCUUCUCAGAAGCAGGCUACCUAGAUCAGUAUUUUUCCCUUUUCCUUUGAAAGAAGGCCAAAGGAGAGAAGAAGGGAGCUCUGUGGAGUAAAUUCACACACUUCUUUUGUGAUUUGUUAUUGAUCAUCGUUUCCUAAACUUUUCUCAUGUGAACUUAAGGAGGGGGGAAAAGGUUGUGCAUACAUAUUUCAGGUCCUGUCAUUGCCUAGCUAGAAUUAUAUAGGCCAAAAAUGACAGAACUUUGCUGUUAGCAACUGAUGAAAAAUGAAAAGCAUUUAAAGCUGAUACUUCAAAUGCCUGCCAGUUUCCCAAAUGUCUGAGGCCUCUUCAAGUUUUAGUUAUUCAUAUCAAUAUUAUUAGGCAUUUAAAAAAUAAAAACAUGGAGCA
rnacentral:lncRNA from 1 species